AUUGAACGCUGGCGGCAUGCUUUACACAUGCAAGUCGAACGGCAGCACGGGGGCAACCCUGGUGGCGAGUGGCGAACGGGUGAGUAAUGCAUCGGAACGUACCCAGUCGUGGGGGAUAACGCAGCGAAAGUUGUGCUAAUACCGCAUACGACCUGAGGGUGAAAGCGGGGGACCGUAAGGCCUCGCGCGAUUGGAGCGGCCGAUGUCUGAUUAGCUAGUUGGUGGGGUAAAGGCCCACCAAGGCGACGAUCAGUAGCGGGUCUGAGAGGAUGAUCCGCCACACUGGGACUGAGACACGGCCCAGACUCCUACGGGAGGCAGCAGUGGGGAAUUUUGGACAAUGGGGGCAACCCUGAUCCAGCCAUGCCGCGUGCGGGAAGAAGGCCUCGG
rnacentral:rRNA from 1 species